rnacentral:lncRNA from 1 species
UGGUCAUGGUGCCAGUUUUGGGUGCCCCAUGGUGACAGUGCCAGCUUUGGGUGCCCCAUGGUGAUGGUGCCACCAGAGCCAGCGCUGGGUGGCCCGUGGUGAUGGUGCCAGUUUUGGGUGCCCCAUGGUGACGGUGCCACCAGUGCCAGCUCUGGAUGCCCCAUGGUCACCAACCCCCCACCCUGUGCCCCUCCAGCUGCCCCCCACCACGUCCAAGUGUGGGCAUCGCACAGCCUCUUCACCACCGGUGACAACCUGACGGUGACGUGUCGGGCAGAGGGCAACCCCCCACCAGAGCUGCGCUGGGAGAUGCCCACCAAUGCCAACCUGGAGGUGAGGGAUGGUGGCACCAACGUCAUCGUCCCGGAUGCCCAACGGGAGCACGGUGGCACCUACCGCUGUCUGGCCAAGAACCGCUUUGGCACCGUCACUGCCAGCAUCGACGUCCUCUUCCAAGGAUCCUCCAGCAGCCUCCUCAUCCCGGUGGUGGUGACCUUGGUGGUGAUCAUCCUCCUGGUCCUUCUCGCCAGCUUCUGGUGGCUUCACGAUGCCCAGAGAUGGAGGGCAAUUCUACACGUGUCCCGGCUCGGCUGAUCCCGCUGGCUCCUUGGCAGCAACAACGACCCGUUUUCCACCACUUUUCCUUCUGCUUUUUCCCAUUUUUGGGUUUUUUUUCCUCACUUUUCCCGCCGGUGGGUGGGCAAAGGGAAGGGCGAGGUGCCCACUCCCUCCUCUUGGCACGGCCUUGGCUCCGGAGCUGGAGGCCGAUCCUGCACGUGUCCCGGCUCCUUGGCAACAACCACCCCUUUUCCACCACUUUUCCUUCUGCUUUUUCCCAGUUUUGGGGUUUUUUGGGGUUUUUUUCCUCAGUUUUCUGGCCGGUGGGUGGGCAAAGGGAAGGGCGAGGUGCCCACUCCCUCCUCUUGGCACGACCUUGGCUCCGGAGCUGGAGGCCGAUCCCGGCUCGGCUGAUCCUGCCGGCUCCUUGGCACCAACGACCCAUUUUCCACCACUUUUCCUUCUGCUUUUUCCUGGUUUUUGGUUUUUUUUGGGUUUUUUUCCUCAGUUUUCCAGCUUUUGGGUGGGCAAAGGGAAGGGCGAGGUGCCCGCUCCCUCCUCUUGGCACAACCUUGGCCCCGGAGCUGGAGGCCGAUC